AAAGAUUCUGAACACGGAAGCAGAUAAAAGCACUGACGUUUCCACAAACACAGAACUGAAAGAAAAACUGACUAUGCAUAUCUCUCUAUUUCUGGGAUUUAUAACCAGUGUAUACACAAUAAAGGAUGGGAACUUUUUGCUUUUUACUGAUUCUCGAGAAGGCGAGAUAUACAAGAUGAAUUUAUCGACGUAUAUCAGUGAACCUUUGUUUGGCUUCCAUCCCAAUCCUGUUGCUAUAA